rfam:TPA: Bos taurus chromosome 2, whole genome shotgun sequence.
UCCCUGGUGGUUCAGUGGCUAAGACUCUUGAGCUCUCAAUCCAGAGGGCCCAGGUUUGAUCCCUGGUAGGGGAA